rnacentral:rRNA from 1 species
UAGUGAGUUUGAUCCUGGCUCAGAGCGAACGCUGGCGGCAGGCUUAACACAUGCAAGUCGAACGCACCGCAAGGUGAGUGGCAGACGGGUGAGUAACACGUGGGAACGUGCCCUCCGGUCUGGGAUAACCCUGGGAAACUAGGGCUAAUACCGGAUACGUGCUCAGGCAGAAAGGUUUACUGCCGGAGGAUCGGCCCGCGUCUGAUUAGCUAGUUGGAGAGGUAAAGGCUCACCAAGGCAUCGACGCGUAACCGGCCUGAGAGGGUGGUCGGUC